rnacentral:tRNA from 7 species
GCGAGAGUAGCCAAGCGGCCAACGGCGAUGGACUCAAGAUCCAUUCUCGUAGGAGUUCGUGGGUUCGAAUCCCCCCUCUCGCACCA